UGUCUGCAGAAGAGGAGCUUCCUGACAUGCACUGUGGAACCUGACAUGAUUUAUACUUUCCUCUCAUGCUGUGUCUUAUCAUGGGUGACUUUUGUCCUCCUCCCUUUUCGUGGUUGAACAUGGGACUUCUCAGAAUGAAUAUGUGAAUGCAACCUGUUCAGUAACCUGUCUGAUGUGACUUGCAUGGGCUCAUUGUAUAGCCCAGGAUGAGCAGAAAGUGUCAGACUGGAAAUGACCGUGGACUCCCAAUCCCCUGCUUCUACCUCUAGGGUGCUGAGAUCACAGGCUUGAAUGUUACCACUCAGGUUGGUGUGACACUGAAGAUCCAGUUGAGGGCCUCCUGCAUCACAGAUGUGACUUGUACCAGGUCCAUCUAGGGGCUGGAACUCAUCCACAGUGACUACUGGUGUCCUGAUAAGGUAGUAAGUGGAAGCUUGAUCUCAUACACUGAUACUGGACCCAUGUUUGUGUACACAAUGGUGAUCUUCACCUCUGUAAGUGACAACUCAGUCACUUACCUCUGUAUCUUGGUCGAUUCUUCUCUGGAGCACUACGCAAAGAAAUAGAGCCAGCCUGCGAGGCUGUGAUGAGGGCUAAACUAAAUGUAGGCAAAGUGUGCACUUUAUUUUCAUUGAGAAAACUGAUGUUAGAAAUUGGGCUUAGGGGCUGGAG